rnacentral:tRNA from 1 species
AUGCCCGUAGCUCAAACGGAUAGAGCGCUUCGCUUCGAACGAAGAGGUCGGGGGUUCAAAUCCUCCCGGGCAUACCA